GAGGGAAGAGGAGAAAAGGGAGGCAAGCCGGAUGGAGCAACGCCGCGUGAGUGAAGAAGGUUUUCGGAUCGUAAAGCUCUGCUGUUGGUGAAGAAGGAUAGAGGCAGUAACUGGUCUUUAUUUGACGGUAAUCAACCAGAAAGUCACGGCUAACUACGUGCCAGCAGCCGCGGUAAUACGUAGGUGGCAAGCGUUGUCCGGAUUUAUUGGGCGUAAAGCGAGCGCAGGCGGAAUGAUAAGUCUGAUGUGAAAGCCCACGGCUCAACCGUGGAACUGCAUCGGAAACUGUCAUUCUUGAGUGCAGAAGAAGAGAGUGGAAUUCCAUGUGUAGCAGUGGAAUGCGUAGAUAUAUGGAAGAACACCAGUGGCGAAGGCGGCUCUCUGGUCUGCAACUGACGCUGAGGCUCGAAAGCAUGGGUAGCGAACAGG
rnacentral:rRNA from 1 species